rnacentral:tRNA from 1 species
GGCUCGGUAGCUUAGUUGGUAAAGCGUACAGCAUACAAGUCUAGCAUACAAGAGUCCUGGGUUGAAAUCCCAGCCGAGCAC